rnacentral:lncRNA from 1 species
GUAAAGCUAGUGGUUGAUUUGAACUAAAUAGAAUUCACUCAGUACUUUAGAACGCGUGCUACAGUGAAGAAUGGCUUCAGGAAACAAACUUUGAGAAUCAGAAUUGGAGAAUCAUAUUAUCCACGUCAACUCAGCAGUGAAAUGAUUAGUAAUUGAUUGCGUGUUCUGCACAUUGUCCCUGCAAAUGCAUCAAUUCCCCUUCACUUCCACUUUCUGCAUGAAAGAAUGCCAAGCAGAUCCUUCCUGUGUCUCACACACAGUGGCAAAGGGGGUAUCAAGAGAGAAAAGGUGCAAGGUGUGGGCAAGUGGUCAGUGCCUGCAUGAAGAUGAUCGGAGACCAUGCAGCACUGAUCACUGGAGUGAUGGAUUGGAAGGCAACGAUGAUAACCGCCUUAUUCAAGAAAUUGACUGUGGAGGAAAUAGAAUUGCCUUUCAAGAUUCCUUGCAGCUGUGAUCCAAGGCAGAAAAAAAGAUAUCCCACAGCAGGAAUUCACCCAGCAACCACUGCACCUCAGCAAUGCGUACAGGAAAGGGACCUGUGCCGUGUUCAUCUCCCUCUUUAAAAUCAGCACAAAAGACAACGAUAUCAAGGGUAAAUGGUCCUAUGAAAAGAUUGUAGAAUUUUCCUCUAGAGGUUUUACUCAUAGAAGUAUUAAAGAUUUAUACUAUAUUCCUCCAGAGCUUACUAUAUGACUAGAAAUAAACAUUUCUGCAAGUCCGAGCUUGGGUAGAAUCACCACGUGGACAGUUAUCACUUAUGUAUAGAGCAUGGAUGAGGUGGGCAAUAGGAGUUGAUGGAAAAGAGCCACAGAAACAAAUAAGUCAAUUUCCACAAUGAUCUAUUCAAGAUCAUUUGAAAUAUAAGUAGCCAUGGAAAAUGCAUUUAUGAUCAUCAACAAUUAUUCACUACAACGUGCACUUGAAAACUAUGCUUAAAUUAACCCAAUAUAUGUGAAUUGGAAACAAGAAUUUCUACUCCCAGAUCUUUUCUUUUAAAAAAAGCUAUUUAGCCGUGGGUAAUAAGUGCAAGGCCUGAUAGUAUCUUAUUCUCUUUUUUUUUUUUU